rnacentral:rRNA from 1 species
UAUGUAAUGUACCUCUCUUCGGAGCAUCGGUGACAGGUGGUGCAUGGUUGUCGUCAGCUCGUGUCGUGAGAUGUUGGGUUAAGUCCCGCAACGAGCGCAACCCCUGUCCUUAGUAGCCAGCAGUUCGGCUGGGCACUCUAGGGAGACUGCCAGGGAUAACCUGGAGGAAGGCGGGGAUGACGUCAAAUCAUCAUGCCCCUUAUGACUUGGGCUACACACGUGCUACAAUGGCGUAAACAAAGGGAAGCGGAGCCGCGAGGCCGAGCAAAUCUCAAAAAUAACGUCUCAGUUCGGACUGUAGUCUGCAACCCGACUACACGAAGCUGGAAUCGCUAGUAAUCGCAGAUCAGAAUGCUGCGGUGAAUACGUUCCCGGGUCUUGU